rnacentral:misc_RNA from 1 species
GUAGGUGAACCUGCGGAAGGAUCAUUAUUGAAUGAACUUGGUGUGGUCGUAGCUGGCCCUCUCGGGGGCAUGUGCACACCCGCUAUCUUUAUUUCUCCACCUGUGCACAUCUUGUAGACCUGGAUAGACUUUCCGAGGCAACUCGGCCGGGAGGACUGCUGUGCGUCACUGCCAGCUUUCCUUGCAUAUCUAGGCCUAUGUUUUCAUAUACCCCAUAGUAUGUAACAGAAUGUAUCAUUGGGCCUCGUGCCUAUAAACUAUAUACAACUUUCAGCAACGGAUCUCUUGGCUCUC